GCCCUUAGAGUUUGAUCAUGGCUCAGGACGAACGCUGGCGGCGUGCCUAACACAUGCAAGUCGAACGAAGCUACUUGGUUAGCUUGCUAACCGGGUAGACUUAGUGGCGGACGGGUGAGUAACACGUGGGUAACCUACCUGGGAGACCGGGAUAACAGCUCGAAAGGGCUGCUAAUACCGGAUGAAGUAUGAGUAAUUAGAUUUACUUGUACCAAAGGCGUUAAGUAGUGCUCCUGGAUGGGCCCGCGGCUCAUUAGCUAGUUGGUAGGGUAAAGGCUUACCAAGGCGAUGAUGGGUAGCCGGUCUGAGAGGAUGGUCGGCCACACUGGGACUGAGACACGGCCCAGACUCCUACGGGAGGCAGCAGUGGGGAAUAUUGCGCAAUGGGGGCAACCCUGACGCAGCGACGCCGCGUGAGUGAAGAAGGCCUUCGGGUUGUAAAGCUCUGUCAGGGGGGAAGAAGGUGACGGUACCCCCUGAGGAAGCCCCGGCUAACUACGUGCCAGCAGCCGCGGUAAGACGUGGGGGGCUAGCGUUGUUCGGAAUUACUGGGCGUAAAGCGCGCGUAGGCGGACUGGAAAGUUGGGGGUGAAAUCCCGGGG
rnacentral:rRNA from 1 species